rnacentral:lncRNA from 1 species
ACUCAUGGAAGAAGAUAGGUGUGAAUCGUUUACCAAAUCGGAAGCUCUGAAAAUCUCCGGGUUCGGUGAGAUCCUCCGGAUGUCGGCAACGGUUCUCUUCGGCGAGCGAUUCUUCAGUGAGGUGAACUACUUUCCCUUUGCUUUUCCGUAAGUUUUUUAAGGUUUUUUUAGGAAUUUCUUGAUGUGUUCUUCUGGGUUUGAAAGAAAUUGAUUUGUUGUUCUUGGUGUUCGUUUUUAGGGUUUUAGGAAUAUUAAUGUGUUGUUCUUGGUUUUCAAGAAACAAAUCACUCUGUUCUCAUGUGUGUGUUUUGAGAAAAAUGCUCUGUUGUUGCUGUUAACUUUUUAGGGUUUUUAGAGAAAAUUAAUUUGUUGUUCUUGGUGUUGUGUUCUUAUGUGUCUUUUGUUGUUGUGUUCUUGCUGUGUGUUUUUUAGUCUUGAAAACUCUUUCUUUUUCGAUUUUCCCAUCCCAGAUUAUGUGGGAUUUAAUUUCUGUGGAUUUGUUCUGUUUUAAGUUAUUAUUGCAAUGCCUUUUUGGAUGUUCAAGUUAAACCUGCUGGGUAAAGUUUCAAACUGAGUAAUUUAUUUAGUUAUUUUUUAGUUUUUUAAGCGCUUUUGAAAAAUACUUUUUUAAAAUAAGCUGUUUUUUUCUUCUCUGCAGGUUAUAGGAAUGAAGUGACCUUGAUGGAAUGGAAAGUGGCGGUAAGAAAGCACACUUGGAGGCGCGCCCAAGUCCAAGGGGUUUUCAAUUUGAUUACUUGGUCUUGGUCAUUAGAAUUAGGAACAUGUUUUUGCAGGCAAAUUCCACUUAGUUAAAAUGUGUAUUUGGACUUAUCUGUAACUUAUUGAAUUAAAUCUAAUAGCCACUAAUAACUAUGUAUUCAACCUUUUAAGCUUUCAAAACUUAACUCAAUA